GCGUGGAGACAGGUGGUGCAUGGCUGUCAUCAGCUCGUGUCGUGAGAUGUUGGGUUAAGUCCCGCAACGAGCGCAACCCUCACCCCUGGUUGCCACCGGGUAAUGCCGAGCACUCGAGGGGAACUGCCAGCGUCAAGCUGGAGGAAGGCGGGGAUGACGUCAAGUCAUCAUGCCCCUUACGCCCUGGGCUACACACGUGCUACAAUGGCCGGUACAAAGGGACGCAAGACCGCGAGGUGGAGCUAAUCCCAAAAAGCCGGUCUAAGUUCAGAUUGCAGUCUGCAACUCGACUGCAUGAAGGAGGAAUCGCUAGUAAUCGCGCAUCAGCCCGGCGCGGUGAAUACGUUCCCGGGCCUUGUACACACCGCCCGUCACACCACGAGAGCUGUCUGUACUCGAAGUCGCUGAG
rnacentral:rRNA from 1 species